rnacentral:misc_RNA from 1 species
GUAGGUGAACCUGCGGAAGGAUCAUUAUUGAAUAAACCUGAUGUGGUUGUAGCUGGCUCUCUCGGGAGUAUGUGCACGCCCAUCAUCUUUAUAUCUCCACCUGUGCACCUUUUGUAGACCUGGGGGAUUGAGCAAUCAAUCGUUUAGGUUUACGUUUAUCAUAUACCCCAUAGUAUGUAUCAGAAUGUAUCAAUGGGCUUUGUGCCUAUAAACAAAAUACAACUUUCAGCAACGGAUCUCUUGGCUCUC